rnacentral:rRNA from 1 species
AAAUUGAAGAGUUUGAUCAUGGCUCAGAUUGAACGCUGGCGGCAGGCCUAACACAUGCAAGUCGAACGGUAACAGGAAGCAGCUUGCUGCUUCGCUGACGAGUGGCGGACGGGUGAGUAAUGUCUGGGAAACUGCCUGAUGGAGGGGGAUAACUACUGGAAACGGUAGCUAAUACCGCAUAAUGUCGCAAGACCAAAGAGGGGGACCUUCGGGCCUCUUGCCAUCGGAUGUGCCCAGAUGGGAUUAGCUUGUUGGUGGGGUAACGGCUCACCAAGGCGACGAUCCCUAGCUGGUCUGAGAGGAUGACCAGCCACACUGGAACUGAGACACGGUCCAGACUCCUACGGGAGGCAGCAGUGGGGAAUAUUGCACAAUGGGCGCAAGCCUGAUGCAGCCAUGCCGCGU